rnacentral:rRNA from 1 species
CGCCUGGGGAGUACGGCCGCAAGGUUAAAACUCAAAUGAAUUGACGGGGGCCCGCACAAGCGGUGGAGCAUGUGGUUUAAUUCGACGCAACGCGAAGAACCUUACCUGGCCUUGACAUCCAGAGAGCUUUCCAGAGAUGGAUUGGUGCCUUCGGGAACUCUGAGACAGGUGCUGCAUGGCCGUCGUCAGCUCGUGUCGUGAGAUGUUGGGUUAAGUCCCGUAACGAGCGCAACCCCUAUCCCUGGUUGCUAGCAGGUAAUGCUGAGAACUCCAGGGAGACUGCCGGUGACAAACCGGAGGAAGGUGGGGAUGACGUCAGGUCAUCAUGGCCCUUACGGCCAGGGCUACACACGUGCUACAAUGGCGCGUACAGAGGGCUGCCAACUCGCGAGAGUGAGCCAAUCCCUUAAAACGCGUCGUAGUCCGGAUCGGAGUCUGCAACUCGACUCCGUGAAGUCGGAAUCGCUAGUAAUCGCGAAUCAGAAUGUCGCGGUGAAUACGUUCCCGGGCCUUGUACACACCGCCCGUCACACCAUGGGAGUGGAUUGCACCAGAAGUAGUUAGUCUAACCUUCGGGAGGACGAUUACCACGGUGUGGUUCAUGACUGGGGUGAAGUCGUAACAAGGUAACCGUA